rnacentral:lncRNA from 1 species
CAUGUUUGCUUCCCUGAGCCCCAGACCCUACCUAGGAAGCGAGGAGAUGAUGUGAUACUCAGAAGUCCGCAGGAGGCUGUGAUUUUAGUUAUUCCUUUUACCUUCUUGUCAUAUUCAUAUAUAUAUAUAUAUAUAUAUAUCUGGAAUUGAACUCAGGGACACUCAACCCCUGAGCCACACCCUCAGUCCUAUUUUGUAUUUUAUUUAGAGACAGGGUCUCCCUGAGUUGCUUAGCACCUCUGCCAUUACUGAGGCUGGCUUUGAACUUGCGAUCCUACUGCCCCAGCCUCUCCAGCUGCUGGGGUCACAGGCAUGCGCCACGCCACGGUGCGGAGCUUCUUGCCAUAUUUCUAACCUGAUGGAUUAGCAGGAGGAAUCCGUGAAAUAAGGCCGGGGUGCUGACUCGCUGGGAGCAUCCUGAGAGCAGGCUAGCUGACAUCCCCUCCCCUGCCCUGGAGGCUGUAGGCUGGGGAGGGAGGCUUUCCAACAAUUAAAAAAGACAGCUGCUCAGAUCUGAGGGUAAGGGUGGUGCACGCCUUCAGACCCGGCCGGGCCAGGCUGUACCAGUGUGGGAGACAUUACAAAGUCUGAGGCUGCAGUCUGUCCUCAUCUUGGCGGGUCCCAGAGACACCGUGACAGGACGAGUUGGCUCUCUGGCUAAAGCUCACUUCCUUCCCUAUCUCCUGGCCCCUGCUGCCCACACUUUCUUUGGCCACUUCCCUUAGCCUUGGCCCAGAUCUCCCAGCUCCAUAAGGGAAUCCAUGUUCCCGGGGUCACGGGGUGCAGAAGUCUGUGGGGAGUGGCAGGGGGCUGGACAGAGCUCUUCCCUGCAUUAGAAGAUCUGAGAGCAGAGACGUGUGCACAUAGGUACUAGUGCACAUACUCGCAUGCUGGUUGUGGGUCUACACACCAACUGCAUGAAAGGAUAAACAGGUGUGCACUCACAGACUCACACAAAACACAUGUACACAACACACACAAAUCCACAGAUUUGUGGAUUUGAGCAUGCUCAAACACAAAAUUUGAGCAUGCACAUCUGUGCAUAAAAUUAUGUAUAUAUACACACACACACAUACCAAGG